rnacentral:lncRNA from 1 species
CUUUUUCCCAGCCUCUCGGGGUCGACACCUCUGUCUCCUGCGCGGGAUACGUGUCGGCCCGGAGAUCUCUGUAAUAGGUCUCCGUAAUAAACCUCGCCUUUGCUUAUUACAUCCAAAAUGGUCUCUCUGUGUCUGGGGUCCGCGAUUUCCCAAGACUUGAGUAAGGGUCUCUCUGCGUGGGAUCUUUCAUAUUUAUGGGGGCUCGUCCGGGAUCUGCGCGACUACCCCAGACUCCGAAGACCCCUUGGAGGAAAGACGGAAUCCUACUAGAGGCCAGAAAAAGUGUUCCAGAGAUGGAUGGAAGGCCCUCACUUCUGCCUGCUCUCUUCAGACGCCUGAAGGACUUAAACUGUGAUAGAGUGGCUGAUAGAGUGGGACCACUGGUCAGCUGCCAUGG